rnacentral:tRNA from 1 species
GCCCAGGUGGCGGAAUUGGUAGACGCACUAGCUUCAGGUGCUAGCGCCGCGAGGCGUGCUGGUUCGAGUCCAGUCCUGGGCACCA